rnacentral:rRNA from 1 species
AUUGAACGCUGGCGGAAUGCUUUACACAUGCAAGUCGAGCGGCAGCGCGGCCUUCGGGCUGGCGGCGAGCGGCAAACGGGUGAGUAAUGCAUCGGAACAUGCCCAGUCGUGGGGGAUAACACUUCGAAAGAAGUGCUAAUACCGCAUACGUCCUGAGGGGGAAAGCGGGGGAUCGCAAGACCUCGCGCGAUUGGAGUGGCCGAUGUCAGAUUAGCUAGUUGGUGGGGUAAAGGCCUACCAAGGCGACGAUCUGUAGCUGGUCUGAGAGGAUGAUCAGCCACACUGGGACUGAGACACGGCCCAGACUCCUACGGGAGGCAGCAGUGGGGAAUUUUGGACAAUGGGGGCAACCCUGAUCCAGCCAUUCCGCGUGAGUGAAGAAGGCCUUCGGGUUGUAAAGCUCUUUCGGCAGGAACGAAACGGUGGGCUCUAACAUAGUCCGCUAAUGACGGUACCUGAAGAAGAAGCACCGGCUAACUACGU